AUGCCAACCCCAAUUUUCAGACAAGCAUAUUUUGUUGUUUGGUUACCUAUUUUGUUGUUUGUGUCUGACGGGUUCUGCUGUCGCAAUGGACAGAUCGAACUUAAACAACCUGAACCAGUCCCAGAGCUGAUGAGACUAUGGUCCAGCAUGGAUGCAGAUUCUAGACAUUUUCGGGAGAACAUACGGUUCUUCAAUGGGCAUUUCGCCUUUACAACCCUUGGCGUCAGCCUCGAUGAGAACUACACAAACAUGAAGUCCGGGGUGUACACAUUCCGGGCACACGGCACCAUCUACCACAAUGUGCACUCGUUCGGGCCUAGCGCCCGUCCAGAACAUCUGCAGUUAUACUUCUAUGAUGACGACCCAACCAUUACUCAUCAUAAGGCGGCCACCAAGCAGUUAGACCAGGAUGUCGUGAAGAAGUUAGUAGACAUACUAAAAGAAAAGCCAUACUCACAGCAAUUUAGGAGUUUGGGUGCACACAAGGACAACCUCGAUGAUUAUAGGAUAGACCUAAACACCGAUAAGAGGCUUGACCAAAGAAGAUAUAAUAGACCGUUGUCAUCUGAGGUCGCUGCAAUUUGGGUUGAGGGCAGCGACCUAGCAAAAAGGUUUGACCGGAGGAUAACACUUUGUGGUAACAACAACGAAAGGCAUAGUAUUCGUGUGACCUCCGGGGCAUAUGGACCCGUUGUCUUAUCCCCUAUUUUAUCCAAGGGGCGAACUAGGUUGGCAUCCGAAGCUACCUAA
rnacentral:rRNA from 1 species